GCAGUGGUGGCUUGGAGGUUAAAGCUCUGGGUUACUGAUCAGAAGGUCGGGGGUUCAAACCCCAGCACAGCC